CUUCAGUGAUGAGCCGAUGACGAGUCAGAAAUGGGCACCCUCCUGCUCAGAGUAAGCUGCUCAGCCCCACGUUCUGUGGGGCUGGGUUCAGGUGCUCCGGCAGAGGUGUCCAGUUCAUUGGAUGAGCUUGAGGCAUUUGUCUGAGAAGG